rnacentral:rRNA from 1 species
UGAGGAAUAUUGGGCAAUGGAGGAAACUCUGACCCAGCAACGCCGCGUGAAUGAUGAAGGUCUUCGGAUUGUAAAGUUCUGUGAUGGGGGACGAAGAAAGUGACGGUACCCCAAGAGCAAGCCACGGCUAACUACGUGCCAGCAGCCGCGGUAAUACGUAGGUGGCAAGCGUUGUCCGGAAUGACUGGGCGUAAAGGGUGCGUAGGUGGCCGCUCAAGUUAGUAGUGAAAUUCCGAGGCUUAACCUCGGCGCUACUACUAAGACUGAGUGGCUUGAGUGCAGGAGAGGUAAGCGGAAUUCCUAGUGUAGCGGUGGAAUGCGUAGAUAUUAGGAGGAACACCGGUGGCGAAAGCGGCUUACUGGCCUGUAACUGACACUGAGGCACGAAAGCGUGGGGAGCAAACAGG